AACGAACGCUGGCGGCAGGCUUAACACAUGCAAGUCGAGCGCCUCGCAAGAGGAGCGGCAGACGGGUGAGUAACACGUGGGAAACUACCCUUGGUACGGAAUAACACAGAGAAAUUUGUGCUAAUACCGUAUGUGCCCUUCGGGGAAGAUUUAUCGCCAUAGGAUGUGCCCGCGUCGGAUUAGCUAGUUGGUGUGGUAAUGGCGCACCAAGGCGACGAUCCGUAGCUGGUCUGAGAGGAUGAUCAGCCACAUUGGGACUGAGACACGGCCCAAACUCCUACGGGAGGCAGCAGUGGGGAAUAUUGGACAAUGGGCGCAAGCCUGAUCCAGCCAUGCCGCGUGAGUGAUGAAGGCCUUAGGGUUGUAAAGCUCUUUCACCCACGACGAUAAUGACGGUAGUGGGAGAAGAAGCCCCGGCUAACUUCGUGCCAGCAGCCGCGGUAAU
rnacentral:rRNA from 1 species